UAGAUAUCUACUGGAAACAGUGGAGAGGGAGGAGAUGAUAUGCAGCAAAAGGCCCAGCCGGAUGGUUGCUGCUCCGUGUGGAACGUGUUCUAUCAGGUGUAACAUCUACCAAUGGUUGUACAUGACAGAGACCUCCUCCACCUCUUUGCUGUCUUACUAGUCAAUCCUUCUGAUCAUGUCCUUUCCUAAAUAGUGAAAGGAUCAUGCCAGCCCACAUCAAACACCUGAUCAAGAACUUGUGAACCUCACUGCUGCGGACACCUGUGUGAUAUUCCACUCUGACUGGAACCCUCAAAAUGACCUGCAGGCUCAAGCUCGGUGUCAUCGUUUUGGCCAGUCUAAGGCGGUGAAGGUGUACCGUCUGAUCACUAGAAACUAUGAGAGGGAAAUGCUGGAUAAAGCUAGUCUGAAGGUCGGGCUGGACCGUCCCGU